UGAACGCUGGCGGCAGGCCUAACACAUGCAAGUCGAGCGGUAGCACAGAGAGCUUGCUCUCGGGUGACGAGCGGCGGACGGGUGAGUAAUGUCUGGGAAACUGCCUGAUGGAGGGGGAUAACUACUGGAAACGGUAGCUAAUACCGCAUAACGUCGCAAGACCAAAGUGGGGGACCUUCGGGCCUCAUGCCAUCAGAUGUGCCCAGAUGGGAUUAGCUAGUAGGUGGGGUAACGGCUCACCUAGGCGACGAUCCCUAGCUGGUCUGAGAGGAUGACCAGCCACACUGGAACUGAGACACGGUCCAGACUCCUACGGGAGGCAGCAGUGGGGAAUAUUGCACAAUGGGCGCAAGCCUGAUGCAGCCAUGCCGCGUGUGUGAAGAAGGCCUUCGGGUUGUAAAGCACUUUCAGCGGGGAGGAAGGCGUUAAGGUUAAUAACCUUGGCGAUUGACGUUACCCGCAGAAGAAGCACCGGCUAACUCCCUGCCAGCAGCCCCGGUAAUACGGAGGGUGCAAGCGUUAAUCGGAAUUACUGGGCGUAAAGCGCACGCAGGCGGUCUGUCAAGUCGGAUGUGAAAUCCCCGGGCUCAACCUGGGAACUGCAUUCGAAACUGGCAGGCUAGAGUCUUGUAGAGGGGGGUAGAAUUCCAGGUGUAGCGGUGAAAUGCGUAGAGAUCUGGAGGAAUACCGGUGGCGAAGGCGGCCCCCUGGACAAAGACUGACGCUCAGGUGCGAAAGCGUGGGGAGCAAACAGGAUUAGAUACCCUGGUAGUCCACGCCGUAAACGAUGUCGAUUUGGAGGUUGUGCCCUUGAGGCGUGGCUUCCGGAGCUAACGCGUUAAAUCGACCGCCUGGGGAGUACGGCCGCAAGGUUAAAACUCAAAUGAAUUGACGGGGGCCCGCACAAGCGGUGGAGCAUGUGGUUUAAUUCGAUGCAACGCGAAGAACCUUACCUGGUCUUGACAUCCACAGAACUUUCCAGAGAUGGAUUGGUGCCUUCGGGAACUGUGAGACAGGUGCUGCAUGGCUGUCGUCAGCUCGUGUUGUGAAAUGUUGGGUUAAGUCCCGCAACGAGCGCAACCCUUAUCCUUUGUUGCCAGCGGUUCGGCCGGGAACUCAAAGGAGACUGCCAGUGAUAAACUGGAGGAAGGUGGGGAUGACGUCAAGUCAUCAUGGCCCUUACGACCAGGGCUACACACGUGCUACAAUGGCAUAUACAAAGAGAAGCGACCUCGCGAGAGCAAGCGGACCUCAUAAAGUAUGUCGUAGUCCGGAUUGGAGUCUGCAACUCGACUCCAUGAAGUCGGAAUCGCUAGUAAUCGUAGAUCAGAAUGCUACGGUGAAUACGUUCCCGGGCCUUGUACACACCGCCCGUCACACCAUGGGAGUGGGUUGCAAAAGAAGUAGGUAGCUUAACCUUCGGGAGGGCGCUUACCACUUUGUGAUUCAUGACUGGGG
rnacentral:rRNA from 1 species